rnacentral:rRNA from 1 species
CUGGUUGAUCCUGCCAGAAGUGAUAUGCUUGUCUCAAAGAUUAAGCCAUGCACGUGUCAGUAUAAGCUUUUAUACGGUGAAACUGCGAAUGGCUCAUUAAAUCAGUUAUAGUUUAUUUGAUGGUUCCUUACUUGGAUAACCCGAGUAAUUCUCUGGCUAAUACAUGCGGAAGACCCUUUACUGGGUUGUAUUUAUUAGAUCUUUACUAACUUUGUUGGUGAAUCAUGAUAAGCUUACAGAUCGCAUCGGGGUAACCCGGCGACGGAUCAUUCAAGUUUCUGCCCUAUCAACUUUCGAUGGUACGGUAUUGGCCUACCAUGGUGACCACGGGUAACGGGGGAUUAGGGUUCGAUUCCGGAGAGGGAGCCUGAGAAAUGGCUACCACUUCUAAGGAAGGCAGCAGGCGCGCAAAUUACCCAAUCCCGACACGGGGAGGUAGUGACAAUAAAUAACAACGUAGGGCCCUUUUGGGUCCUACGAUUGGAAUGAGUACAAUUUAAAUCCCUUAACGAGGAACAAUUGGAGGGCAAGUCUGGU